UUCAAAAUUUUCAGAAACUGUUAAAGAGGAAAUAGAAACAAAUAUUAUGAUAUUUUCUAUAAUUGUAUCGUUAUUUUAAUCACCGGUGUUUAACACGAGUGUUCAUUUCUUAAUCAUAUAUAUUUAUAAAUUAAACACAUAGCAUUUAUAUUGAAAUUGCAAAUUAAACACCAGUGUUUAAUACGUUAUGAUAGAAAAUGACGCAGUUGAUUAUGUCAUAACAUGCCAUUUGAACGCAGAAGAUGCAGAAUCACGCAUAUACUGACAAGAAACGCCAUAUCUAGCAAGGAAAUAAGAGGGACAUUCAUCUGGUACUGUGAAUCCUGAGAACGAAGAUCAUACUUAACCGAGAGAGGAUAUGAAGAAAUUAGAACUACUUCGGGUGAAUGCAAUUUUGGAGAAUGGAAAACUGGAGAUCAUCACCCGUUGUAGAAGAACCUGAAUUUUACCCGCAACCAGAGGAGCUAGACUGUUUAACUCGGUUCGAAUAUUAUAUGGAUAUUGAGUGAGUGAUACCCCGGCAUCUCUUGUUUAGUAGCAAGAACUGGUCCUUUACAAUUCAAAACUGGAAAAAUUUCUUUAUUUGGUUAAAACUCUGAAUAUUUGUGAAAGUAUAAACUUGUAACAUUUACAACUAGAUUUAUUAGUGUAAUACAAGUACAUAUAAUUCAUGCUGUACCAAGACAACAAAUAUCAUUUUCAGUUUUUUGUAUCAUAUUAUUUUAUCAUUUUGCUUGUUUUAUUUAUUAAAAAAGAUGUAAAGGAUGGUUUAACCUAUUUUUUAAAAAAUGUUUUAAAUUUUACUGAUGAAAAACAUUUCAUUUUAUUAAGCGAUUAUGUUUUUUUUCAUAUUUCAAAGACCCUCCCCCGCCCUCCCGACACCAAUUUAUUGGAGUUUAGUUUAAACAGAUUUUACAUCUUCAUGC